CUCCAGACUCCUACGGGAGGCAGCAGUGAGGAAUAUUGGUCAAUGGACGCAAGUCUGAACCAGCCAUGCCGCGUGCAGGAAGACGGCUCUAUGAGUUGUAAACUGCUUUUGUACGAGGGUAAAUGCAGGUACGUGUAUCUGUUUGAAAGUAUCGUACGAAUAAGGAUCGGCUAACUCCGUGCCAGCAGCCGCGGUAAUACGGAGGAUCCAAGCGUUAUCCGGAUUUAUUGGGUUUAAAGGGUGCGUAGGCGGGACGCCAGUUCAGCGGUAAAAUGCGGGGGCCAAACCUGCGUCCGCCGUUGAAACUGGCGUUCUUGAGUGGGCGAGAAGUACGCGGAAUGCGUGGUGUAGCGGUGAAAUGCAUAGAUAUCACGCAGAACCCCGAUUGCGAAGGCAGCGUACCGGCGCCCAACUGACGCUGAAGCACGAAAGCGUGGGUAUCGAACAGGAUUAGAUACCCGCGUA
rnacentral:rRNA from 1 species